GCUCCGGAGCUGCAGGUUGCUAAGCGACCCCUGAACUGCCAUUAGCUGCGUUGAUUUGCCCUCCAACGAAACUGUUGAGCACAAAACAGCAAAGAAACCGUCAUGAUGUUUGUGUCGUCCUCACCUCAGUUUGGUGUUGCAGUGCGAGCAGCGGAAGCAGGAGCUGUGGUAAACAUGCUGAUUGGCCACCAGCCUCUCCAGAGGAUAAACUGUCUUCUCACAAGACACACAGGUUGUUUCCUGUGAGGAGGACUCACUUUAGGAGUCUUGGCCUGAGAGGAGUCUCUCUGAUUGGAGGAUGCAGGAGAGCCGUUAGCGGAGCCUGUUGGGAUUACAACAUGACCAGUAUGAGGAAAAAGCUGCUGCCACCAGUGCUUUUGAGUAGACAGGGAAGAAGGAGGCGUUCCCUACACGCCCAUUUAACUCCCACCAGCCAAUGAUGAAGCAGCAUUCACAUCCACCUGGCAGGUACGAGCUCUCUCCCUCCUCGUCCAAUCAGCAGCGCUCAGUGUGAGCACAGAGAGGUCAAGACUUCAGAGGAUGUGACUCACUCACAAUCCUGGAUGACUAGUCUGAAAGAAGGAGGGGGGUUGGAGAGAGAACAUGAGAUGUUCCUUUU